CGUGCUGCGACAGGUGCUUCCGGCU
rnacentral:miRNA from 11 species